AGGGAUCAUUACAAGAAGCCGAAAGGCUACUUCAAACCAUCGCGAACUCGUCCAAGUUGCUUCGGCGGCGCGGCACCCCUUAACGGGGGCGCCGCAGCCCUGCCUCUCCGGAGGUUCGGGGCGCCCGCCGGAGGUACGAAACUCUGUAUUAUAGUGGCAUCUCUGAGUAUAAAACAAAUAAGUUAAAACUUUCAACAACGGAUCUCUUGGUUCUGGCAUCGAUGAAGAACGCAGCGAAAUGCGAUAAGUAAUGUGAAUUGCAGAAUUCAGUGAAUCAUCGAAUCUUUGAACGCACAUUGCGCCCGGUAGUACUCUACCGGGCAUGCCUGUUCGAGCGUCAUUUCAACCCUCAAGCCCUGCUUGGUGUUGGGGCCCUACGGCUGCCGUAGGCCCUGAAAGGAAGUGGCGGGCUCGCUACAACUCCGAGCGUAGUAAUUCAUUAUCUCGCUAGGGAGGUUGCGGCGUGCUCCUGCCGUUAAAGACCCAUCUUUAACCAAGGUUGACCUCGGAUCAGGUAGGAAUACCCGCUGAACUUAA
rnacentral:rRNA from 9 species